rnacentral:rRNA from 1 species
UCUACGGGAGGCAGCAGUAGGGAAUCUUCCACAAUGGGCGAAAGUCUUGAUGGAGCAACGCCGCGUGAGUGAAGAAGGUUCGGAUCGUAAAACUCUUUUGUAAGGGAAGAACAAAUACAGUUAAACGCGGUUGAUGACGUACUAUAUGAAGCCCCCCUCGC